ensembl:snRNA U6 U6 spliceosomal RNA
CUGCUCACUUUGGCAGCUCAUAUAUUAAAACUGGAAUAUUACAGAGAAGAUAACAUGGCCCCCGUACAAAGAUGACAUGCAAAUUCGUGAAGCUUUUCUUUUUAAA